CAGGUAGAUUGACCUCUGCUGACACAACUCUUAUGAAUCCAGCAUCUGGAGAUGAAAGAACAGCAGAGAAGAUGACGAUGAUGAUUGCAGGAGGUGUGACUGCAGGUGUCCUCUUUCUUGGAUUGGCACUUCUCUUUUUUCAAAGCAGGACUGAAAAAACUGUUUCCAAGAGACCAAAAAUCAACGUCGCUGGUUUGCAGGCUGGUUAUGAUGAAACCUACAGUGUCGUCACCUAUGAAUGCAACAACUGAGUGACAACAGCAGCACCUCAGACAAGCGUCUCCUGAGAGACAGCGUGCAGCGCUACAAAGUCAAUUUAAAAUCCAAAUAUUGCUUUUCUUGCAUCUUUUCCCACUUUGCUUUUUUUGUACAUUUAUUUACAUCAACAUGUUGGUUUAAUCAAACUUUCCUUAAUUGAUAGAAACAGAAAUUAGCUCAGAAGAUAACAUGUCUCACAAUGCUCUAAAUA